AUUGAACGCUGGCGGCAGGCCUAACACAUGCAAGUCGAGCGGAUGAAGGGAGCUUGCUCCUGGAUUCAGCGGCGGACGGGUGAGUAAUGCCUAGGAAUCUGCCUGGUAGUGGGGGAUAACGUCCGGAAACGGGCGCUAAUACCGCAUACGUCCUGAGGGAGAAAGUGGGGGAUCUUCGGACCUCACGCUAUCAGAUGAGCCUAGGUCGGAUUAGCUAGUUGGUGGGGUAAAGGCCUACCAAGGCGACGAUCCGUAACUGGUCUGAGAGGAUGAUCAGUCACACUGGAACUGAGACACGGUCCAGACUCCUACGGGAGGCAGCAGUGGGGAAUAUUGGACAAUGGGCGAAAGCCUGAUCCAGCCAUGCCGCGUGUGUGAAGAAGGUCUUCAGAUUGUAAAGCACUUUAGGUUGGGAGGAAGGGCAGUAAGUUAAUACCUUGCUGUUUUGACGUUACCAACAGAAUAAGCACCGGCUAACUUCGUG
rnacentral:rRNA from 1 species